GGCAGUUCUUGGGUGAUGCACCCCAGAAUCGGACUCCCUCCUCUCUGGUUCCAGAUGUGUCACCUGAGAACCACA
rfam:Myotis davidii contig193507, whole genome shotgun sequence.